UUAAUAUGGACAAUCGCGUCGGAUCCUUAUGAGUAGCUUGCUGGAGCUGGGGAAGGGCGACCUCCUGCUAAUGGGGCAUUCCUGCCCGUGUGCCCGUUCCACACCAUCUGGCAACUGGACCCUUCACACCCUGCUUGCUUCCCUGAUGACGGUACCGGCUUGGCCACAGAGGACACUUGCAUUUUGAUGCCUGCUACAGGAUCUUAUACCAAAGCAUCUGUCAAAACCCACACUUCCCAUCCAAGAAGCUCAGAAUCCGAGAACCUGACAUUUAUCCACUCUUCAAGUUGAGACUUUCCUAACCAUUAUAGCUUAACAUCAAUGACUCUCAGAAUCAUCAAAGCAGGAAUUCACAGCUCAUUAAAACACCACAGAUGGAUUUUA